ensembl:snRNA U6 U6 spliceosomal RNA
GUGCUUGUUUCAGCAGCACUUAGACUAAAAUAUAAACAAUACAGUGAUUAAUAUGGCCCCUGUGCAAGGUUGACACACAAAUCUGUGAAAUGUUCCAUAUUUUU